rnacentral:rRNA from 1 species
UACGUAGGGUGCGAGCGUUAAUCGGAAUUACUGGGCGUAAAGCGUGCGCAGGCGGCUUUGCAAGACAGAUGUGAAAGCCCCGGGCUCAACCUGGGAAUGGCCGUUGAAACUGGCGAACUGGAGUGUGGCAGAGGGGGGUGGAAUUCCGCGUGUAGCAGUGAAAUGCGUAGAGAUGCGGAGGAACACCGAUGGCGAAGGCAGCCCCCUGGGCUGACACUGACGCUCAGGCACGAAAGCGUGGGGAGCAAACAGG